rnacentral:lncRNA from 1 species
GUCCAUAUAUGUUGGAAACAGUUGCAUUUAUUCUGUUUCUCUCUCUCUCUUUCUCUCUUACACAUACACACACACACACAACACAACUCUGACUGCUUUUUAUUUCUUUACUUUCCACCGAAGUCAGCUGAAAGAAAAUAAAAGCAUCUCUAGUUCUGUUUUUUCACUAUUAAAAAGAAAAAGAAGAAACUCGUAAGCAACCUUACUUACACAGCUGGCCCCAUGCUUGGCUCCAGGAAGAAUGUAAUCCUUGACUCUAAUGCAAAGAACUUUUAAAGGCUGAGGCAUGUAAGUAGAACAUAUUUCACGGUCAAGAGUGUUCCACAUUUCAAACAUUUCAGUUCAGCUUUAAAAUGUCCCUUGAAAACUACUGAUUGCAAAGCAAAACUUGGAAAGUGACUGCUGCAUGGUUUUAAGAGAUAUAAGGCUUUUAAAAACAAUAGUUAACAAAAUAAACAUUAAUUUUAAAUUCGGAAAAAAGAAAUGCGGUAGAGAAUCAGUUUUCAUUCAAAUAACUUUCCACUUAUUUUUAACCCCUGGGAGCCCUCUAGUGUUGUGUUUGCAAAAACAGACUCAGAAAUGUCAGUCUCAUGAAGUUCAAAAUAUCGAGAGUUUGCUAUCUUGGUGGAGCAGCCGCAGCCAAGGGAGUAACUUGUAAAAUAAGGAAUGCCAUCACCCCUCGAGUGUCCAUCCCGCAUAACUUGGGAUUAGAGCAUAAGCGUUCCCAGGAACUACUAACCUUACCAUCUUGGCCGUUUCAUUUGUCUUCCACCAGUUCUGGAAAGAGAAGGCCUAGAAGUUCAGAAAAAAAAGGAAUUUCUCCAGAAGAUAGCAGUCCCUCAAAAAGCAUAACCAAAAUCUACUGAAAAGGGACAGAGGAGAUCCAUCGUAGAUUCUUUUUGGUUCCUGCCUAGAGCUCUUAUUCCUUAACCACUCACCCAGCCACUCACCCUACUUUGAGCCUGGCUCUGGCUGUUCCAAGGUAGUGGAGAGAGAGAGGCAAUAAUGGCAGAAAUGGUUUUGCUACUCCAUGGAUAAUGCUGCAAAUUGACUUAUAAGCUCUCCAGGUUUGGCAGGUGUGUAAAGCUGACUCUGCGAUGAGCAUCUUGUAGUCACUUCAAAGACACCACUAUCAAAGCAUCUCUUUAGCUGGCUGUUGAUGGCCCCUCAGUCCCUUGGAACUUGGUAGCCCCCUGUUCUGUUGAGAUCACCUCAUCUCUUAGGCAGCAUUUAGGCUGACCCGCAGGCUGGUUUUCUAACUUGGACCUCUGUGUACUGCCCCACAAGUGAUCCAAUGGACAUGGUCAUCAUGAUUUGCUCCAGCAACCUCAGACUUCCCAAUGCAGCAAACCACUUCCCUCAGCACAGCGGAUCCAUACCUCAUUUUGGAAUGUGGAAGCAAUUGCCAUCAAUUGCUCAUGGUCUCUGUUGAAACUGAAUGGAAAGGUGUUUUUUGCCAUCAGGUAGCACGGGA